GGCCUGAUGGUCUAGUAGUAUGAUUCCUUCUUAGGGCGCAUUUGCAAUUUGGAGGAGGUCCCGGGUUCAAUUCCCGGUUAGGCCC
rnacentral:tRNA from 1 species